rnacentral:rRNA from 1 species
UACGGAGGGUGCGAGCGUUGUCCGGAAUCACUGGGCGUAAAGGGCGCGUAGGCGGCUUCUCAAGCGUGUGGUGAAAGUCCGGGGCUCAACCCCGGAUCGGCCGUGCGAACUGGGGGGCUGGAGCACUGUAGAGGCAGGCGGAAUUCCGGGUGUAGCGGUGGAAUGCGUAGAGAUCCGGAAGAGCACCGGUGGGGAAGGCGGCCUGCUGGGCAGUGUUGCUGACACUGAGGCGCGACAGCGUGGGGAGCAAACAGG